AUAUUUGCAUCAUUGCCACUAUGAAGAUGCUGACAGUGUUCGUACUUGUUUGUGCCAUGGUGGCUCUGGCCAGAGGUGAUGGUGAGUUUUAAACCUAAUGCUACAAUUGCCACAAAAUGAGCAUUUUAGAGAAUGAUUCAACCUGAUUUAGACUCUGUCUCAUAGUCUUUUUGUCUCUAAGCAGAGAAUGGGUUGUUCAAGAGGUCAUCAUAUUGUCCCACUGACUCGAUUACGUUCAGAGGUCGUUGUUUCUUCUGUUUCAGCAAAGAUGACAUGGGGUGAUGCUGAGAAAUUCUGUCUGACCAAUAGAGCACACCUCGCUUCUGUGCACAGUGCUGAAGAGUAUUAUAGCAUCCAGAGAAUGAUAAAAAACCCUCACUCAAGGAUUGGGAAGAACAUGGCUUGGAGGCUCCGAUUGCCAAAAAGAAGGUGUUUGGUUGUGGAGUGAUGGCACACCUUUUGACUACCAACACAAAGGAAAGUUUGAUAACCGCUGGUGGAGGGCAACAACUGGUUUGCAAAUGAAUUAUGGAG